rnacentral:lncRNA from 1 species
UUUAUACUGUCGUGUAGGGGAUGGACGAAUCACCAAUAUAUGAACAAUCAAGCGUUGGGAGAAUGUCAAUCAAACAUAAUUGAGACACUAAUUUUUCUCCCAAGGUUCACGUGCUUGCCGGCACACUACAUCCCCAUUGUGUCGACCAACACUUGGUGGUUCGGGGACUAAGAGCUGUAGCACGAACCUCGUCCUCACAAGGACACCGCAAGAGCCUACCCACAAGUGAGGUAGCUCAAUUAUUGAGCAAUCCAAUGGAGUAACCUUUUGGCUCUCCAUCGGAGAAGGUACAAAACCCCUCACAAUCAUCAACUCGUGCCAAUCCUACUCCACUGCUUCAAGUUGUCUAGGUGGCAGCAACAACCAAGAGUAACAAGAAAACCACAGCCAAAUCAAUCCCCAAGUGCCACUAGAUGCAAUCACUUAAGCAAAUGCACUCAGAAACACUCCCAAUCUCACAAAGAUGGUUAAUCUAUAAAGGAGAUGAGUGGAAGGUGUUUGCUUAGGCUCACAAGGAUGUCAAGUAUGCUAGAAUGCCAAGAGAGUGAGCCCCGAGCCGGUCAACAACUAUUUAUAAGCCCCUCAACCAAAUAGAGCCAUUGGCUCUUUCACUGGGCAA